AGUGAAGCGGGAUGAGCUCAAAUUUGAAAUCUGGCUGGUUUACUAGUCCGAGUUGUAAUUUAAAGAAGCGUUUUCGGUGGCAGCCUGGGUAUAAAUCCUUUGGAAUAGGGUAUCAUAGAGGGUGAGAAUCCCGUCUUUGACCUAGUGCAUGCUACUAUGUGAUACGUUUUCAAAGAGUCGAGUUGUUUGGGAAUGCAGCUCAAAAUGGGUGGUAAAUUUCAUCUAAAGCUAAAUAUUGGCGAGAGACCGAUAGCGAACAAGUACCGUGAGGGAAAGAUGAAAAGAACUUUGAAAAGAGAGUUAAACAGUGCGUGAAAUUGUUGAAAGGGAAACGUUUGACACCAGUCAUGUGGGUGGAAAAUCAGUCUUUUGCAUUGGGGAGUUGUAAGGGUUCGGACCGCAAGGCCGGCUUUUGCUUCAUCUCUGGUGUAAGUGAUGCACUUUUUCAUCUACAGGUCAACAUCAGUUUCUUUUGCUGGACAAAACUCCGAGAGAAGGUAGCAGCUUAGGCUGUGUUAUAGCUCUGGAGCGAUACAGUGAAGGAGACUGAGGUUUUCGCAGCGUGUGCUCUCGGGCAAGGCUGGAUGGGUGCUAUGGGAUCGUUCGGGGUACAAUGCCUGGCAUUUUGCUUCGUGUCUUUUCUAUACUCGCUCAACUCAGCUCUUCCACGCUUAGGAUGUUGACUUAAUGGUUUUAAACGACCCGUCUUGAAACACGGACCAAGGAGUCUAACAUAUAUGCAAGUGUUUGGGUGGCAAACCCAUGCGCGUAAUGAAAGUGAACGUAGGUGCGAUCCGCAAGGUGCAGCAUCGACCGAUCUUGAUAUUUUUGGAUAGAUUUGAGUAAGAGCAUAUAUGCUGGGACCCGAAAGAUGGUGAACUAUGCCUGAAUAGGGUGAAGCCAGAGGAAACUCUGGUGGAGGCUCGUAGCGAUUCUGACGUGCAAAUCGAUCGUCAAAUUUGGGUAUAGGGG
rnacentral:rRNA from 2 species